rnacentral:misc_RNA from 1 species
UCUCCGUAGGUGAACCUGCGGAGGGAUCAUUACUGAGUUAUCUAACUCCCAAACCAUUGUGAACUUACCACUGUUGCCUCGGCGGCAGGGCUCUGUAACAGGAGCUGGCCGCCGGUGGACUACUAAACUCUUGUUAAUAUUUGUCAUUCUGAAUAACAAACUUAAUAAGUUAAAACUUUCAACAACGGAUCUCUUGGUUCUGGCAUCGAUGAAGAACGCAGC